AGCAGUAGCCGCGGGAAUACAGAGGGUGCGAGCGUUAAUCGGAUUUACUGGGCGUAAAGCGUGCGUAGGCGGCUUCUUAAGUCGGAUGUGAAAUCCCUGAGCUUAACUUAGGAAUUGCAUUCGAUACUGGGAAGCUAGAGUAUGGGAGAGGAUGGUAGAAUUCCAGGUGUAGCGGUGAAAUGCGUAGAGAUCUGGAGGAAUACCGAUGGCGAAGGCAGCCAUCUGGCCUAAUACUGACGCUGAGGUACGAAAGCAUGGGGAGCAAACAGGAUUAGAUACCCCCGUAGUCCCUGUCUCUUAUAU
rnacentral:rRNA from 1 species